AUGGGAGGUAAAGCUGGAGUGUACGCUCACCUCUCUGUUCGUGACAGUAUUUGCUCUUGUAUUUUUUUUUUUUUUAUAACCAGCUUAGGCAUUCCAGCAUGCACAGGGAAAUUCUGGCUGUUGAGAGAGGUGCUCACAAGAAAAGGUUUUGCAGAAUCGGGAUCUUUGCUGACAAGGUUUUCCAUGUGGUGCUUUCCUGUCCCCGACCAGCCCAGCAGGGAGUAACAUCACCAACCCACACACCAUGGGACCUGAUGGCUGGGGAUUCUUACUGCUUCUCUCACAACUUCAUGCCCAGCUGCCUCAUUUAACCAUUUUGUGUCUUCAGUCCCUAAAGCUCUUCAACAACAGCCUGUAUUGUCAUACCGUCUAUGAGUAAUCCCUACAACCCUUAUACAACAUUCAUCCUGAUUUUUCUGGGGCUGCUUCUGAAAUAAGAUCAACAUGCAUUUUUUUGUUCUUUGAGUUCUCUUCCACUGCGAGAGCAGAGGGGCUGGGCUGGAUUCAGUUCCCAGUUUUGCUUAACAUGGAUGAUGGAAGCCUACCCAUUUUUCAGACUAUCAUUCAUGACUGUGUUUUGUUCAGUCCCAGUAUGCUUUUCCAAAUAAAUCCUUACUUUUAAAGUACUGGUUGUAACCA
rnacentral:lncRNA from 1 species